GACGAACGCUGGCGGCGUGCUUAACACAUGCAAGUCGAACGGCAAGGCCCUGCUUUUGUGGGGUGCUCGAGUGGCGAACGGGUGAGUAACACGUGAGUAACCUGCCCUUGACUUUGGGAUAACUUCAGGAAACUGGGGCUAAUACCGGAUAGGAGCUCCUGCUGCAUGGUGGGGGUUGGAAAGUUUCGGCGGGUGGGGAUGGACUCGCGGCUUAUCAGCUUGUUGGUGGGGUAGUGGCUUACCAAGGCUUUGACGGGUAGCCGGCCUGGGAGGGUGACCGGCCACCAUGGGACUGAGAGACGGCCCAGACUCCUACGGGAGGCAGCAGUGGGGAAUAUUGCACAAUGGGCGGAAGCCUGAUGCAGCAACGCCGCGUGCGGGAUGACGGCCUUCGGGUUGUAAACCGCUUUCGCCUGUGACGAAGCGUGAGUGACGGUAAUGGGUAAAGAAGCACCGGCUAACUACGUG
rnacentral:rRNA from 1 species